rnacentral:tRNA from 1 species
CAAAAUAUAGCAUAAACAAAUGCUUUUCAUUUACAUUGAAAACAUAAUCCUAGAUUUAUUUUGA